rnacentral:rRNA from 1 species
AAACUUGAGAGUUUGAUCCUGGCUCAGAGUGAACGCUGGCGGCACGCCUAACACAUGCAAGUCGAGCGAUAAGCUAAACUUCGGUUUAGUGGACAGCGGCGGACGGGUGAGUAUCGCGUGGGAAUUUACCAUAGAGUGGGGAACAACUGCUGGAAACGGCAGCUAAUACCGCAUACGCCCUACGGGGGAAAGGCUUCGGCCGCUCUAUGAAAAGCCCGCGUACGAUUAGUUUGUUGGUGGGGUAAUGGCCUACCAAGACUACGAUCGUUAGCUGGUCUGAGAGGACGAUCAGCCACACUGGGACUGAGACACGGCCCAGACUCCUACGGGAGGCAGCAGUGGGGAAUAUUGGACAAUGGGCGAAAGCCUGAUCCAGCGAUGCCGCGUGAGUGAAGAAGGCCUUCGGGUUGUAAAGCUCUUUCGGUGGGGAAGAUAAUGA